UAAUACUUAUGAAGGCGCAGUAUUCUAGUCGAACAGACUUGCCCACAAGACGUUAAAAGCGUUAAAUGGCACAACUGUGAAGUUUCUUGUGUUGGCUUUGGUUGCCCAAACCGGGGCUGAUGCUGGAAGUUAAGAUUUUUGGGAGCACUGUAACGGCAUACAGAGCGCGGCCCAGAUUUCGUGGAGACCCAAGUUUUGGUGGUUUCAUAAAGAAGGCACCUCUUGGGGAAGAACCUGCAUUGCGGUAAAAAAAUUGCUGUGUGCAGUGUAGCCAGCCUUGAGUGAAGUGUUGGGAUGAAGUUAACUGGCUAAUUUAGUUUGGCCAAACAAAUUUAGUCAAAGCUUAAAACUGGCAAGCUUUUGAAAUUCACUUUGCAAAAAAGGAUAAGGACGAAUCUCUGUUUGUUUGAGAAAUUCUCUAGACUGUUCGCGUCAAGUGGCGCGGUUCGCUUCGGGGAUUAUAGUGUGGUCUAAGUGGCGAUUCGGUGAUGUCAACCCCUUAAAAGGAAACUGCUUAUUCGGCGACGAAAAGUGGGGAAGCGGGAAAUCCAACCGAACCUAUGCUGCAAGGUUUACCCGAAUUUGC
rnacentral:sRNA from 1 species